GACGAACGCUGGCGGCGUGCUUAACACAUGCAAGUCGAACGGAAAGGCCCUGCUUUUGUGGGGUGCUCGAGUGGCGAACGGGUGAGUAACACGUGAGUAACCUGCCCUUGACUUUGGGAUAACUUCAGGAAACUGGGGCUAAUACCGGAUAGGAGCUCCUGCUGCAUGGUGGGGGUUGGAAAGUUUCGGCGGUUGGGGAUGGACUCGCGGCUUAUCAGCUUGUUGGUGGGGUAGUGGCUUACCAAGGCUUUGACGGGUAGCCGGCCUGAGAGGGUGACCGGCCACAUUGGGACUGAGAUACGGCCCAGAAUCCUACGGGAGGCAGCAGUGGGGAAUAUUGCACAAUGGGCGGAAGCCUGAUGCAGCAACGCCGCGUGCGGGAUGACGGGCUUCGGGUUGUAAACCGCUUUCGCCUGUGACGAAGCGUGAGUGACGGUAAUGGGUAAAGAAGCACCGGCUAACUACGUG
rnacentral:rRNA from 1 species